rnacentral:rRNA from 1 species
CCUGCGGAGGGAUCAUUACCGAGUUUACAACUCCCAAACCCCUGUGAACAUACCUUAAUGUUGCCUCGGCGGAUCAGCCCGCGCCCCGUAAAACGGGACGGCCCGCCAGAGGACCCAAACUCUAAUGUUUCUUAUUGUAACUUCUGAGUAAAACAAACAAAUAAAUCAAAACUUUCAACAACGGAUCUCUUGGUUCUGGCAUCGAUGAAGAACGCAGCAAAAUGCGAUAAGUAAUGUGAAUUGCAGAAUUCAGUGAAUCAUCGAAUCUUUGAACGCACAUUGCGCCCGCUGGUAUUCCGGCGGGCAUGCCUGUUCGAGCGUCAUUUCAACCCUCAAGCCCCCGGGUUUGGUGUUGGGGAUCGGCUCUGCCCUUCUGGGCGGUGCCGCCCCCGAAAUACAUUGGCGGUCUCGCUGCAGCCUCCAUUGCGUAGUAGCUAACACCUCGCAACUGGAACGCGGCGCGGCCAUGCCGUAAAACCCCAACUUCUGAAUGUUGACCUCGGAUCAGGUAGGAAUACCCGCUGAACUUAA